AAUUCCCCUAGAGUCAUUGAAGGUAUGGCCGCUGUGUUAUGUGUGUCAGUAGAUGGUGGAGAGUGGAGAGGUUAUGCCUAUACUCAGUGUGACCUGUGAGCAUCUGAGUGAUUAGUGUCCUGACAUG